CCCCGGUACGCCGGGGAGGUCGGUGCCUGGGCGCUGCCGCUGCCCACCAUCGACCCGCAGGUGGUCGUGCGUUCGGCACGCGCGCUGGAAC
rnacentral:tRNA from 1 species